CAAUACAUGGACUGUAUGCCUCGGUGGUGGUGGACAUACUGGGAAUAGAAAACUUGAGGAGUGGUUUGUGUGUUCUCCAAUUAUCACAGGGUAUAAUAUGGAGUGUCAUUCUACCAAUUACAGGGUAUCUUCGUGAUGCCUCGGGGGAUUACCUGUUAACUUACCAUUUUGUAGGGUCAUUAACCAUAAUUGCUGCUUCAGUUUUAUUUGUUAGCCAUUAUUGUGUAAAGAGGUCACCAAACAAUACGGAAGUAGACGUUAAAGAAGAAGAAACUUGAUAUUUCUUUUUGUUUUCUUGUUGUUCGUUUACUUUUUACCUCUUUUACUAAUAAAAACUCUUUCAUCUUUAAUAUAUGCUUCUGUAUUGGAAUUAUUAAAAUUUUGCAUUUUGUUUAUCA